GGGGGUGCCUGGUUUCGACAGGCUGGAGAAGGACAGGCUUGCAAUCCGAAGUUGAUGGAAUGGCUUCGUUAAAAUUCUAUCACAGCAUAACUGCUGACGAAGAUUUCGCACUGGCUGCUUAGUGUCAGCCACACUCCGUUGUCCUCUGACCAAAGGGAUGACAUGAGUGACGCUUUUUGGUCUUGGGCUUUUCAGGCGCUUUCACUGAAAAGCUGACAACUCGAAAGAUAGGCUCUGACAGGUUUGUUCCUGGAAAUGUCAGGGAGUAGAAUCAAACAGGAAACAUGAUUGUAGACGGUUUGACUGGACACUGUACCUGGACGGGAGUUCGAUUCUCCCCACCUCCACCA
rnacentral:tmRNA from 1 species